GACGAACGCUGGCGGCGUGCUUAACACAUGCAAGUCGAACGGAAAGGCCCUGCUUUUGUGGGGUGCUCGAGUUGCGACCGGGUGAGUAACACGUGAGUAACCUGUCCUUGACCUUGGGAUAUCUUCAGGAAACUGGGGCUAAUCCCGCAUAGGAGUUCCCGCUGCUUGGUGGGCGUUGGUAAGUUUCGGCGGUUGGGGAUGGACUGGCGGCCUAUCAGCUUGUUGGUGGGGUAGUGGAUUACCAAGGCUUUGACGGGUAGCAGGGCUGAGCGGAGGACCGGACAAGUUAGGACUGAGCUAAGACCCAGACUACUACGGGAGGCAACGGUGGAGAAUAUUGCACAAUGGGCGGGGGCCAGAUGCAACAACGCCGCGUGGGGGAAGACGGGCUGCGGGUUGUAAACCACUGUCGCCUGUGACGAGGCGUGAGUGACAGUAACGGGUGAAGAAGCACCGGCUAACUACGUG
rnacentral:rRNA from 1 species